UUAUCGGUUUGUCCUAGAAUCUAUUUAUCCCUUACGGGUUCAAUUUGAUUUCCUUGAUCCCUUCGGAUAGGUUUAAAGAAUCAUAAUGAACUAGGUCUUCUUUGAUGUUUGGGUGAUUAGGCUAUAGUGGAAGCAGCUGGUUUUGAAUGCAUCAUACUUGGUUAUUGGAUCCGUUGGGCAUCCGGAAUUCAAAAUAGUAGAUUCUGAAACUGACGAAGUUCUUCCACCAGGUUCAAAGGGCAUUUUGAAAGUCAGGGGUCAACCCGUGAUGAAAGGAUACUUCAAGGGGCAGGCGAUUGACCACUUGCAGAGAUAAGGCUCAACCGUGUAACGAUGCAUUCUAAUCCACUUGCUGGUUAGACUGGUCUCUAUAAUUCAUGUAAAAUUGAAGUUUCUAUUUUCCAAAACAAUAGAUAUACGCACAUCUCUAGUUCUGAUUUCACGUUUUUGUCGAGACUUCACUCCCUUCUUCCAUAUGUUUUAAUGCGCUAGGAUCCUUUAAUUUCCUGCACUAGUGGGUUUUUUUCCAGUCUUUCAGAGGUAAGCUAGUGUCUUUUGAAGGUAUUGUAUACUAUUAUGUGUUCCUUGUUUUUGCUUAUUUUUAUUUUGGUGUUAAAUUGUUUGUUAGUCUAUGCUUGAUUUUUUUAGUUCAAAUGUUAAUGUUACCUAAGACUCAAAUUGGUGUUAAAUGGAUUUGAAUUAUGAGUUGUAAGACUCAAAACCAGGUAAAUUUAUUUAUCACAUAGCACUGUAUUAUUAUAAGGUCAAUUUGGUGUUGAAUUUUUGCAAUGUGUGUUUUUACUUGUGUUUUCUUUUCUCCGAUUUCUUAUCGAGGUUGCAUGGCUGAUAUGUAGGGUAGCUGUAGCAUCAACUAUUGAUCCUGUUUUUUACUUUCACAUCCUUAUAUACUUCACCUUGGUGCCUUACCACUUAUUUAACAGUUUAGCACAUUGUGAUUAACUUCAAAUGUUGAUGAUCUAUUUGUUCCUCUAACUUAUUGUUGUGGCCUGUUUAUGCAGUUUUUUUACUGCAUCUUCAUCUUAGUUUCUGAGAACAUCUCUGACACCCCCAUAUCUUGCGCAUUUAUGGAUACUUUUAUGAUCAGAAACGACUUUACUUGAUUUUAGAGUAUGCACCCAAAGAUGAACUUUACAAGAAAUUGCAGAAAUGCAAAUAUUUCAGUGAAUGAUGUGCAGCUACUUAUGUUGCAUCAUUGUCCCGAGCUCUUAUAUAUUGCCAUGGAAAGCAUGCCAUUCAUAGGGACAUUAAACCAGAGAACCUUCUUAUUGGCACACAGGCGCACCAUGUGGUCAGUGCACACAUUCAUUCGCAGACGGACCAUGUGCAGCACACUGGAUUAUAUUCCAUCGGAGAUGAGCCAUCCUUGGGUUCAGGUUGGAGGUGUUACCCCUGACAAACCACUUGAUUCCGCUGUCUUAUCUCGUUUGAAGCAAUUCUCUGCAAUGAAGAAGCUCAAGAAAAUAGCCAUUCGAAAUUCCAAAAGUACAAGAGCUGUUGCAAGAGUUUUUCAAGGGGAAGGAAUUAUGCCAAAGCAUCAACCCUGAUGAGGCUGUUGCUUAUGGUGCAGCUGUCCAGGCUGCUAUGUUAUGCGAUGGUUUUAAGAAUGUUCCAAACUUGGCAGGGACGGAUCCAGAAAUUUUAGUAAGUGGGGUCAAAAUUACAACGUAAAAAAAUAUAAAUUGUUAUUUAUAUAAUUUUAACAUUUUCUUAUACAAAAUUAUUUAUUUUGGUUUAUUAGUCAAUACUUUUAAGAUACUCA